CACCUCCCUAGAAUCGACAGCGCCCGCGGUUUGCCGGGAGACUGCUCAGCGUUUUACCGACCUGAAGGAUGAAAAAGAGGCACCCAUUCCUGCCUGCCUGCCGCUUACCACUUUCCAGCUGCCAAAGCAGCUGCAUGGGAAGCAAGCCUGAAACAGAAGGAACAGGACCAAAGAGAUCUGUAGACGAGGGCGGCAGAAUAGCUUCACCACCAUCUUGCAUUCUUGGAUACCAGGCUUCGACUCUAUCCGACCUACAGUCUACGCCCAGGCCCACCCGCAGGUCACCGUGCCUCUCCCAGCACCCUUUGCAAGAGUACAAAAUUUAAAAGCUGCAGUUUGCCGGGGCAGGGGCGACAUGGACAGAGAUUUUUUUCCCUUAACCUAUGUGAGCAAGUCGUUUUAAUUUUCCGAGUCAAGACGCCCCAUCCGGGAAAUGGACACGUUGACAAUAUCCAAAGACAUCUGGAGAGCCAGAAUUUAGUGACCGAGCCAGAGCCACAGCUAACACUGGAACAGAAGAUCCCCUGACAACGAACAACAAUAACAUCGCUUCUAAGAACUCCAGCAUCAAGGGUUUUGAAAGUGAACAAUGUAUGAAGCCUUGCUAAGGUUCUGCUUACUCUGUGGGUGGAUUGCUUGCAGAGGAAUCAGUCCAAGCCCUGCCUUGAAUUUAUCUAUUGUAUUUAUGUGUAUGAAUGUUUUGCCUAUGUGUAUGUUUGUGAACCAAAUCUGUGUCUGAGGUCUGAAGAGGUUAGAAGAGGAUGUUGGAUCCCCUGGAACUGGAGUUAUAGAUGGUUAUGAGUCACCAUGGAGGUGCUGGAAGCUGAACCCCGGUCCUCUGCAAGAGCAACAAGUGUUCUUAACCCCUGAGCCCUCUCUCCAGCCUUGGAAUCAGUAAACUUCCUAUUGUACCUUUUUUGUAGGCCACAUUAAUAAAAUCAGUUUGUAGGA
rnacentral:sRNA from 1 species